rnacentral:rRNA from 1 species
UACGAGGGGAGCGAGUGUUGUUCGGAUUUAUUGGGCGUAAAGGGAGUGUAGGUGGGCAUCUAAGUCAGAGGUGUAAUCCUGGGGCUCAACCCCAGACUUGCCUUUGAGACUGGAUGUCUUGAGUAUGGGAGAGGACGAUGGAAUUCCUGGUGUAGCGGUGGAAUGCGUAGAUAUCAGGAGGAACACCAAUAGCGAAGGCAGUCGUCUGGAACAAUACUGACACUGAAACUCGAAAGCGUGGGGAG